rfam:Desulfobacterium vacuolatum DSM 3385 genome assembly, contig: Ga0002809_107
GGGCCGUUAGCUCAAUUGGUAGAGCAACUGACUCUUAAUCAGUAGGUCGAAGGUUCGAUCCCUUCACGGCCCA